rnacentral:lncRNA from 1 species
CUUAACUUACGUUCCUCUUCCUUUGGAUCAAGUUGUGUAACACUGACAGAUAAGCGAUCUACACGUUCCUGUAAGGAGUUGACUCUAAAUGAGAAACUGUGUGCUUCAUUGAAAAGUUCCCCAAAUAUAUCUUCAGCAUAUUUACUUAAGCUACUCAGUUGUCUGAUUAUAUUUGCCAAGGAGAUAUUGGUGACGCAUUCCAACUCAUUC